GAGCGGGCGUAGCAAUACGUCAGCGGCAGACGGGUGAGUAACGCGUGGGAACGUACCUUUUGGUUCGGAACAACACAGGGAAACUUGUGCUAAUACCGGAUAAGCCCUUACGGGGAAAGAUUUAUCGCCGAAAGAUCGGCCCGCGUCUGAUUAGCUAGUUGGUGAGGUAACGGCUCACCAAGGCGACGAUCAGUAGCUGGUCUGAGAGGAUGAUCAGCCACAUUGGGACUGAGACACGGCCCAAACUCCUACGGGAGGCAGCAGUGGGGAAUAUUGGACAAUGGGGGCAACCCUGAUCCAGCCAUGCCGCGUGAGUGAUGAAGGCCCUAGGGUUGUAAAGCUAUUUUGUGCGGGAAGAUAAUGACGGUACCGCAAGAAUAAGCCCCGGCUAACUUCGUG
rnacentral:rRNA from 1 species